UACGAAGGGGGCUAGCGUUGUUCGGAAUUACUGGGCGUAAAGCGCGCGCAGGCGGCUAUCCAAGUCAGUGGUGAAAGCCCGGAGCUUAACUCCGGAACUGCCAUUGAAACUGUUUAGCUUGAGUAUGAGAGAGGUGAGUGGAAUUCCCAGUGUAGAGGUGAAAUGCGCAGAUAUCGGGAAGAACACCCGUGGCGAAGGCGGCUCUCUGGAACGCAACUGACGCUGAGACGCGAAAGCGUGGGGAGCAAACAGG
rnacentral:rRNA from 1 species